rnacentral:lncRNA from 1 species
UCUGGGGCUCUCUUCCCAGAGAGCUCGUAGGGGAGGACAGUCAAGGGACUCAAGCGUCUCUCUUGACUCCCCUUCUCUCGCUGUGCAGUGGCGGCGCCGAGGGGUCGACGCUCAGGGCUAAUCUCUAUGAGUCACCCUCGAGGCCCCGGGUAAUAUUGGGUGGAUCACAAGAACUAAUCUUUCAUGAUUUGGAAACCGGAAGGAAAGAAGCACUUUUGUAGCUGACUUACCUCAAUGACAUGACCAGUGUCUGAGCCUACAACUGCGCUAUCUUCCCUGGAUUUUUCUUCACCUUUUCCUUACUCAUGAGCCAGAACUGCAUGUCCAAGGAGCUAUACAUUUGCUAGAAG